rnacentral:rRNA from 1 species
GCGGAGGAAAAGAAACUAACAAGGAUUCCCCUAGUAACUGCGAGUGAAGCGGGAAGAGCUCAAAUUUGAAAUCUGGCGGUUCUGCCGUCCGAGUUGUAAUCUGGAGAAGCGUUUUCCGUGCCGGACCGUGUACAAGUCCCUUGGAACAGGGCGUCAUAGAGGGUGAGAAUCCCGUCUUUGACACGGACUCCCGGUGCUCUGUGAUGCGCUCUCGAAGAGUCGAGUUGUUUGGGAAUGCAGCUCAAAAUGGGUGGUAAAUUCCAUCUAAAGCUAAAUAUUGGCGAGAGACCGAUAGCGAACAAGUACCGUGAGGGAAAGAUGAAAAGCACUUUGGAAAGAGAGUAAAACAGUACGUGAAAUUGUUGAAAGGGAAACGCUUGAAGUCAGUCGCGUCUUCUGGAACUCAGCCUUGCUCUGCUCGGCGCACUUUCCAGUUCGACGGGUCAGCAUCGGCUCUGGGGGGCGGACAAAGGCGCGGGGAAGGUGGCAGCUCCGGCUGCGUUAUAGCCCCGCGUUGUACGCGUCCCCCGGGACCGAGGAAUCCGGCGCUCGCGCCUGGGAUGCUGGCGUAAUGGCUUUAAACGACCCGUCUUGAA